rnacentral:snRNA from 1 species
AAGGGUAAAAGCUCGUUU